UAGAGAAGGGGGCGGUUAGGUUUGAUAGUAUAUAUAAUAGUAUAUAGCUUGUGGGCACUUGAGAAUCUGGAUAGUCUUCUGAUUCAACUGCAUCGGAUUCGUUUGACUUAAAGAAAGGAUCGUGUUUCAGUAAAACAUCCUAAAAACCAGUGCUACAAUCAGUGCUACAAUCAGUGCUACAAUCAGUGCUACUGCCUGUUAUUUCCAGUGCUACAAAGGCUUUACAAUGGAUCCAGCACUAAUUGCUCUGAUUUGUAUAGGUGUCGUCAUCGGUUUGAUUGGCUGUUCCUUUGUCCUUGUCUGGAUGACCAAGAAACGCGGAGACUUCACCAGACAGCCCACAGUUUCACCUCACAGAAAUAUUGCACCUUACGGAAAGAUCGCACCACUAUGGCUGAUUCGUCCCUGCGACGCAAAGAGAGCGCCCAUCUACAAAGGCUUAAGCGUUCAUACUAAGCCCAUCUACAAGCUUCCUGUCCAGAUGGCCUCCAAAAGAGAUGAGUGCGUGGUGCAGCUUCUGCCCGGCUUGUGCUUGGAUAAGGCAGACGUAGUCUAGAGAACAGUCUUGUCAAAAAGUAUCACCAGAGUAUGUUGGUAACUUUGAAGAAACAUUUCUUGUUCACACAAUUGUCCACAUAUUUCUCAAGCGUCUCGUGCCUUUGGAGGUAGAUGAUGUCAAUAUAGAAGUGACUGGAAUGUCAUCUAGAGUCAAUCAUUCGGGGAUGUUAAACACUUUCGUUCAACUCUAGAACUGUCACAGUGUCUUGGAAAAAGGAAUCGCAACGCUUUAAACUUGUUUUCGUACAAUGUAACUUGAAUACGGAAUUUCAAUAAUCUUCAGAUUAACAUUUUGGACAAAGAAAUUCCAAAAAUGUACCGUUCAACAUUUUUUACUUGGAAAUUCCUAGAAUGUACAGUUCAACAUUUUGGACUAAGAAAUUCCGAAAAUGUACUGUUCAACAUUUUUACUUGGAAAUUCCUAGAAUGUACAGUUCAACAUUUUGGACUAAGAAAUUCAGAAAAUGUACAGUUUAACAUUGUGGACUAGGGAAUUCCGAAAAUGUACAGUUCAACCUUUUGGACGAUGGAAUUCCAAUCAGGUUUAGCUUAAUUCAUAGAGAUGAAUGUUGAAAUUCUGAAAUUGACCUUUAUGAGAGGCGAAUUAAGUGUGAAUUUGUUGAAAGCUAAUACUGAAAUAAUCUUGUUGAAAUGACGCGGACCUUGAAGAUAAAAAUAGCCCAUCAUGUGACUAGACUUCAAGAUAAACCAGUAUUUGACUAAAUCAGUGAGAUGACUGUACAGGGACAGUUUUUCGACUACGGUUCCUUUCAAACGUUCAAGGGGAGAUCAUAUUGAAUAAAUUUGAGUCACUCUCCAUAAAGAUCGAACUCUGUGCAGGGCACACCAUGGUCAAAUAGUUGUAACUGACCUUCCAGUCUUUCAAAAAGUAUUCUUUUAUCCGUUUAAAUUUGUUUUUAGUAUUGUUGCUGAUGAUUUUUUCUUGUUCUGUCGUUUGAUUAAUUCAUCAAUUGUUUAGAUUGCGCAUGCAUAACUUUGAGGUUUAGCGACAUUUGUAAGUAGCAGUAUUAAUUUCAAACAUGCAUUUGUAAAAAAUAAGACUUAAAAAAAAUGAAAUGUUUUUUUUAAUAUUUUUUAUUUUAAUAAGAUCUUGCCAAACAUGCACAAGCGUCUUUGCUUAAGAAAUACAUCUCUAGAAUUGAAUUUAUGUGUAUAUAUAACU
rnacentral:sRNA from 1 species